AGCGAAGAAUUGACAGUGGCAAAAAACUCUAACUCAUUUUCUGAGUGUGUUUUGACGUGACUGAUCACUUGCGGGGUGACAAUUGUGACGACGAGGCACUAACGAAUGUUAACGGUCCUGUCCGAAGCGAUUGGGUUGGCCCUCAUUCCCAUCUCUCACUCCCACACAUUCCUAUCAGUUUAUCUCUCUCCUCUCUCUAACUGGCAGGGGGUACUUGCGGCGGCUCCGAAAUCCAUUGCCGAGGGAGUGGUGGGGAGCAAGUUGUGGCGAAAUUAUCCAGUCAUCUUGGUUGGCCGGCAUGGCUAGGGGAAAACGCGUGGAGGAGGAAGAUUGUUCAAUUAUAUUUUGAGAAAAAAUCAUUACUGUCAAAUAGUGUUGCUCCGGCCUUGGCUUCAGAAGACGGAGAGAUCGGCAAACUGGCCCAUGAUUCGAAACUGCUUCUUCUUCCUCCUAAUGCUUGUGCCUAUCUCCACCUGCAUCUGCUGCUUCUCCACCCACUACUGCUCCAUCUAAUGCUGCUCCAUGUCGAACAGAGGAGCAAGGGGCAGCACUGGAACCAACUUGUCGAGCGCGUAGUCCAUGCGUAGUUGGUCGCAGUUCUAGUACAUGUACCAGCGUGCCCACUAGUAUGGAUCCGGGGAAUUCAUCGCCUCCCCCAUCGCUCCAUGGAGUUCUCGAUCACUGGGCAGUGGAGGUCUGGCAUUCGAGCGUGCUCCUCAUGGGUGACGUCCGCCCUCACCACACGUGCAUGGCUCUUUGGGAUUUCAAUGUACCGGUUUCUCACCUCGCGUGGGUAGGAGAGCUCGAUGUUUUCACCAUCGAAGAUCUCCUGCAGCGUCUUGUCCCAUCCGAGCUCGAAUGCCAUGGCGCGAUGGAGGUUUGUGGACGAUUCCUUGUUGUUUUUCGGUGCUUCUCGACAAUAAAAAGAUAUGGUAAAAUGUGUGUUGAACACUUAUGCUUCCUUGACAUUGCUAUCAACCCUUCAAAGUUUUCCAUCAUUUUCUUUGGGAAUUGUUCAAGAGCGGUGAUGGUUGAGAUUUAGGAUAUCCUGGAGGUUACCCAACAAAUUAUUGAUCCCAAA